CCCCAAAUCCCAUUGAAGUGACCCCAAAUCCCAUUAAUGGACCCCAAAUCCCAUUAAAGUGACCCCAAAUCCCAUUAAUGGACCCCAAAUCCCAUUAAUGGACCCCAAAUCCCAUUAAAGUGACCCCAAAUCCCAUUAAUUGACCCCAAAUCCCAUUAAUGGACCCAAAAUCCCAUUGAAGUGACCCCAAAUCCCAUUAAUGGACCCCAAAUCCCAUUAAUUGACCCCAAAUCCCAUUAAAGUGACCCCAAAUCCCAUUGAAGUGACCCCAAAUCCCAUUAAUUGCACCCCAAAUCCCAUUAAAGUGACCCCAAAUCCCAUUGAAGUGACCCCAAAUCCCAUUAAUGGACCCAAAAUCCCAUUAAAGUGACCCCAAAUCCCAUUAAUUGACCCCAAAUCCCAUUGAAGUGACCCCAAAUCCCAUUAAUGGACCCCAAAUCCCAAUAAAGUGCCCCAAAACCCCAUUAUGUGGCUCAAAAUCCCAUUAAAUGACCCCAAAUCCCAUUGAAGUGACCCCAAAUCCCAUUAAUGGACCCCAAAUCCCAUUGAAGUGACCCCAAAUCCCAUUAAAUGACCCCAAAUCCCAUUGAAGUGACCCCAAAUCCCAUUGAAGUGACCCCAAAUCCCAUUGAAGUGACCCCAAAUCCCAUUGAUUUCACCCCAUAAGUGCCCCUCUGCCCCAUAAGUGCCCCCUCUGCCCCAUAAGUGCCCCAUAAGUGCCCCCUCUGCCCCAUAAGAACCCCCUUUUUUGCCCCAUAAUGCCCCUCUGCCCCAUAAGAACCCCCUUUUUGCCCCGUAAGUGUCCCUC
ensembl:lncRNA